UUCUCUCUGGUCUGGCACAAAGCUAGUGACAGAAUGACUGUUUCUGUGUAUCAGGAUCGGUAGUCAAGGGACGAGGAAAAGGUAGAAGAGAAGUGUGUACAUAUAAAUAUUAAUGAAAAGGAUGUGGUAAACAAGAAGGUAUAAUGACGAUAUGUGAAAUGGAUACGUAUGCAAUGCUUGAGGAAUCGGCCAUUGGUGGUGAGCCUUGAGAAUGGAAUCCCACUCCAUCCCGCAGCCCCUCUCAACAGCAAAGCAACAGGAGAGAAAGUCUUGGUUCCUGACCCUGCACACAGUGGAGCUGCCAUUUCAGUUUGAUCACCUCCCCACCUAGAGAUGGGAUCACCAGAUGUAUCCCCAGAGAACUCCGUGUAUCUAUCUCAUUGAAUCCCUUCAACUUUUCCAAGCCUAACUUAGGAGUUCCUUUUUAGUGAUCUCUACUGUGGGAAAUGGAAAUACUCACCUCCCAACGUUUGCAGUCUGA